AAUCCCGUGAACCAUCAAGUCUUUGAACGCAAGUUGCGCCCGAAGCCUUCGGGCCGAGGGCACGCCUGCCUGGGCGUCACGCAUCGUGUCGCCCCCUCCUCCCGCUCCCCGGAGCGGGCGGGGCGGGGUCGGAGACUGGCCUCCCGUGCGCUCCCGUCGUGCGGCCGGCCC
rnacentral:rRNA from 1 species